AUUGAAUCACAGACCAUGAGAAUUAAAAGCUUCUGCACGGCGUCCAUGUCAUCUUGGUCUUCUUCUCUCCAAUUGUACUGAGAGAUUUUGACAACUACGGUGCACUAACUUCCCUUCUGUGGCUUCAACCUCGAUCAACAGAUAUAGCCAAAAGAUUGGUGCAAUUGUAUGACUUGCAUAGCUUGCGUUAACAUUGACACUUUGGGGUGGAUUGCCUUAGCUAAAUUUUGAGCAUAAUCACCGCAGCCUUGUUGAUUUGAAGUAUAAAUUUGUGGUAGUCCUGAGAGUUUGUGCGCAGCAAACUUGGAGGUCAGCUGAUGUUUUUCCAAGUAGACUUGCUCUGCUCUUGGCUGCAGAGAAUUGUCCCUUAUCUUUUCUCUAUUCCAUUCCUGUCUGCAUUUUAGUCCGGAAUCAAAACUUUGGUCCAGUCAUGUCUCUUGAGACUUACCGGAAACCCAAGAAGAGGGACAGCGACGAGGUCGAGAUCAAGAUCGGCACGGCGCCGUUUUGGCAUAGGUUCCUCUUUAUUUUCUCCAAGAAAGACAAUUUUAUAGAGGGAACUUGCUUCAUAUAAUUGGAGUAAAUUCAUCAAUAUAUGGUUGAGAUUUUUUAUUUUCGGUAUUAAUUUCUGAUGGAAAGGAGAUUAUUUAGUUAUUUCUGGGUACAAUAUUGAUUGGGUUGUGAAUUCAUUAUAUGUUACUGUUUGGAUUCUGAUUAAUGGAAUUGUAUAUUA